GGGCGCACGGUGGAUGCCUUGACACUAGGAGUCGAUGAAGGACGGGACUAACGCCGAUAUGCUUCGGGGAGCUGUAAGUAAGCUUUGAUCCGAAGAUUUCCGAAUGGGGAAACCCACCAUACGUAAUGGUAUGGUAUCCUUAUCUGAAUACAUAGGGUAAGGAAGACAGACCCAGGGAACUGAAACAUCUAAGUACCUGGAGGAAGAGAAAGCAAAUGCGAUUUCCUGAGUAGCGGCGAGCGAAACGGAACAUAGCCCAAACCAAGAGGCUUGCCUCUUGGGGUUGUAGGACAUUCUAUACGGAGUUACAAAGGAACGAGGUAGACGAAGCGACCUGGAAAGGUCCGUCGUAGAGGGUAACAACCCCGUAGUCGAAACUUCGUUCUCUCUUGAAUGUAUCCUGAGUACGGCGGAACACGUGAAAUUCCGUCGGAAUCUGGGAGGACCAUCUCCCAAGGCUAAAUACUCCCUAGUGAUCGAUAGUGAACCAGUACCGUGAGGGAAAGGUGAAAAGCACCCCGGAAGGGGAGUGAAAGAGAUCCUGAAACCGUGUGCCUACAAAUAGUCAGAGCCCGUUAAUGGGUGAUGGUGUGCCUUUUGUAGAAUGAACCGGCGAGUUACGAUCCCGUGCGAGGUUAAGCUGAAGAGGCGGAGCCGCAGCGAAAGCGAGUCUGAAUAGGGCGUUUAGUACGUGGUCGUAGACCCGAAACCAGGUGAUCUACCCAUGUCCAGGGUGAAGUUCAGGUAACACUGAAUGGAGGCCCGAACCCACGCACGUUGAAAAGUGCGGGGAUGAGGUGUGGGUAGCGGAGAAAUUCCAAUCGAACCUGGAGAUAGCUGGUUCUCCCCGAAAUAGCUUUAGGGCUAGCCUUAAGUGUAAGAGUCUUGGAGGUAGAGCACUGAUUGGACUAGGGGUCCUCAUCGGAUUACCGAAUUCAGUCAAACUCCGAAUGCCAAUGACUUAUCCUUAGGAGUCAGACUGCGAGUGAUAAGAUCCGUAGUCAAAAGGGAAACAGCCCAGACCGCCAGCUAAGGUCCCAAAGUGUGUAUUAAGUGGAAAAGGAUGUGGAGUUGCUUAGACAACUAGGAUGUUGGCUUAGAAGCAGCCACCAUUUAAAGAGUGCGUAAUAGCUCACUAGUCGAGUGACUCUGCGCCGAAAAUGUACCGGGGCUAAAUACACCACCGAAGCUGCGGAUUGAUACCAAUGGUAUCAGUGGUAGGGGAGCGUUCUAAGGACAGUGAAGUCAGACCGGAAGGACUGGUGGAGUGCUUAGAAGUGAGAAUGCCGGUAUGAGUAGCGAAAGACGGGUGAGAAUCCCGUCCACCGAAUGCCUAAGGUUUCCUGAGGAAGGCUCGUCCGCUCAGGGUUAGUCAGGACCUAAGCCGAGGCCGACAGGCGUAGGCGAUGGACAACAGGUUGAUAUUCCUGUACCACCUCUUUAUCGUUUGAGCAAUGGAGGGACGCAGAAGGAUAGAAGAAGCGUGCGAUUGGUUGUGCACGUCCAAGCAGUUAGGCUGAUAAGUAGGCAAAUCCGCUUAUCGUGAAGGCUGAGCUGUGAUGGGGAAGCUCCUUAUGGAGCGAAGUCUUUGAUUCCCCGCUGCCAAGAAAAGCUUCUAGCGAGAUAAAAGGUGCCUGUACCGCAAACCGACACAGGUAGGCGAGGAGAGAAUCCUAAGGUGUGCGAGAGAACUCUGGUUAAGGAACUCGGCAAAAUGACCCCGUAACUUCGGGAGAAGGGGUGCUUUCUUAACGGAAAGCCGCAGUGAAUAGGCCCAAGCGACUGUUUAGCAAAAACACAGCUCUCUGCGAAGCCGUAAGGCGAAGUAUAGGGGGUGACACCUGCCCGGUGCUGGAAGGUUAAGGAGAGGGGUUAGCGUAAGCGAAGCUCUGAACUGAAGCCCCAGUAAACGGCGGCCGUAACUAUAACGGUCCUAAGGUAGCGAAAUUCCUUGUCGGGUAAGUUCCGACCCGCACGAAAGGUGUAACGAUUUGGGCACUGUCUCAACCAGAGACUCGGUGAAAUUAUAGUACCUGUGAAGAUGCAGGUUACCCGCGACAGGACGGAAAGACCCCGUGGAGCUUUACUGUAGCCUGAUAUUGAAUUUUGGUACAGUUUGUACAGGAUAGGCGGGAGCCUUUGAAACCGGAGCGCUAGCUUCGGUGGAGGCGCUGGUGGGAUACCGCCCUGACUGUAUUGAAAUUCUAACCUACGGGUCUUAUCGACCCGGGAGACAGUGUCAGGUGGGCAGUUUGACUGGGGCGGUCGCCUCCUAAAGUGUAACGGAGGCGCCCAAAGGUUCCCUCAGAAUGGUUGGAAAUCAUUCGUAGAGUGCAAAGGCAUAAGGGAGCUUGACUGCGAGACCUACAAGUCGAGCAGGGACGAAAGUCGGGCUUAGUGAUCCGGUGGUUCCGCAUGGAAGGGCCAUCGCUCAACGGAUAAAAGCUACCCCGGGGAUAACAGGCUUAUCUCCCCCAAGAGUCCACAUCGACGGGGAGGUUUGGCACCUCGAUGUCGGCUCAUCGCAUCCUGGGGCUGUAGUCGGUCCCAAGGGUUGGGCUGUUCGCCCAUUAAAGCGGUACGCGAGCUGGGUUCAGAACGUCGUGAGACAGUUCGGUCCCUAUCCGUCGUGGGCGUAGGAAAUUUGAGAGGAGCUGUCCUUAGUACGAGAGGACCGGGAUGGACGCACCGCUGGUGUACCAGUUGUUCUGCCAAGGGCAUAGCUGGGUAGCUAUGUGCGGAAGGGAUAAGUGCUGAAAGCAUCUAAGCAUGAAGCCCCCUUCAAACGAUGAGAUUUCCCAUAGCGUAAGCUAGUAAGAUCCCUGAAAGAUGAUCAGGUUGAUAGGUUCGAGGUGGAAGCAUGGUGACAUGUGGAGCUGACGAAUACUAAUAGAUCGAGGACUUAACCAU
rnacentral:rRNA from 1 species